rnacentral:tRNA from 1 species
GCGGGGGUGCCGGAGCCUGGAAAACGGGCAGGGCUUAGGACCCUGUGUCUUAGGACUACGCGAGUUCAAUGGCCUUUCUUCCU